rnacentral:rRNA from 1 species
GACGAACGCUGGCGGCGUGCUUAACACAUGCAAGUCGAACGGAAAGGCCCUGCUUUUGUGGGGUGCUCGAGUGGCGAACGGGUGAGUAACACGUGAGUAACCUGCCCUUGACUUUGGGAUAACUUCAGGAAACUGGGGCUAAUACCGGAUAGGAGCUCCUGCUGCAUGGUGGUGGUUGGAAAGUUUCGGCGGUUGGGGAUGGACUCGCGGCUUAUCAGCUUGUUGGUGGGGUAGUGGCUUACCAAGGCUUUGACGGGUAGCCGGCCUGAGAGGGUGACCGGCCACAUUGGGACUGAGAUACGGCCCAGACUCCUACGGGAGGCAGCGGUGGGGAAUAUUGCACAAUGGGCGGAAGCCUGAUGCAGCAACGCCGCGUGCGGGAUGACGGCCUUCGGGUUGUAAACCGCUUUCGCCUGUGACGAAGCGUGAGUGACGGUAAUGGGUAAAGAAGCACCGGCUAACUACGUG